rnacentral:lncRNA from 10 species
UUCCAGAAAAACUGUCUCACAAGAGUGCGCCAUGGAAGCUACGAUUCUACCAUGCUCUUGAGUGUGGGCAGUCAAGAUGCCACACAGCAUCUGUUCUCUGGAGUGUACAGCUGAAACUCUAUUCAGAGAUGAGGAAGCUGCUGCUUCUGCAAAUGCUUGUCUCUAUCCUAAGCUGGUUCCUGGACACUAGGAUGCUUCUGCAGAAACCAAAACCAAAGCCAAAAACAUUCCACAGUGCUCCACACCAGGGCUUGCCAGCAACAGCAUUUGAGGCAGCAACGAGAUAGCUGGUGCCACUUCCGCCAUCAUGUUAAUAGGCAGAAUCUAACAUAUGUCCAGAACAUAACUGCAAGAGAGGUUGAAGCUCUAUGUACUGGAGAAGUUUAGAAUCAAUCCUGAGUGUUGAUCUACGAUAUCUAGGAAUGACAAGGAAGAAGAGGUUAUGGAAUGUUUACAUUCCUGU